rnacentral:tRNA from 1 species
CUUGAGAUAGUUCAGUUUGGUUAGAACAAUAGAAACAUCGUAGGUUCGAAUCCUACUCACACAA